UAAAAAGACCUACCAAAGGGAUAAUCUGUAGAUGGUCUGAGUUCAAGAGAAUCGACGGGGGACGCAGACACGGUCCAGAAUCUUGAGUGAGGCAGCAGUGGGGAUUAACGUCAAUUGGCGCAACAUGAUCCGGAAAUGCCGAGUGGUGAAGAAGGCAUUCGGGAAUAAAGCACAGGGUCCGCAAGGAAAUCGUCAUGGUUGUACCGAGAUGGGAUGAUAGUACCGGCAGAAUAAGCACCGCUUGUCUACAUCCCAGCAGCCGCGGUAAUCCGUAGGGUCCAAGGGUUACUAAGAAUAGGAGGGCGUAAAGCGAGCCAAGUCGGUUUGGUAAGACAGGGUUGAAAUUCCCGGGUCUAACAAGGGAACUGCAUUUGUGACGGCCGGCCUAGAGGAUGACCCAGGGCCGUAAAAUUCAUCGUAUUGCGGAUAAAUGUGUAGAAAUGUGGGUGAAGAACGAUGAAUCAGGCGUACUCGU
rnacentral:rRNA from 1 species